ACCGGUUUGGCUCAGCGGUACUGGGAGGAGCGCUGGUCCCGCCAAUUCUCGUCGUAAAUCGAAGUGGCCCCGGGUUCGAUUCCCGGGGCCAGCG